AUGGUUGAAAAACUGAGAAGGAGACACAUUAUUCUGCUUCAAAUUUUGAUCAGCUGGGACAAAUUAGGUAGACUGGAGCCCAGUGGCCCGAGACCAUGGAAGAUCCAGCCAAGAGAGGAGGCCGCCAUGUGCCUGGCAGAGCCACACGAGGUCAGCAGGGGGGCCUCGGUGAUGGAGCUCCAGGAGCUGGGGGCACCCAGGAAGAAAGGAUGGAAGCGCUGCCGCGAGUGUGUGAGGAACUUUGGUGACCGGAGAAUGGGCUCCCAAAUCUCAGACAGUACAUCAAAGUGGAUGCCCCCGGUAGUCUAGUAGACUAGUCACUUCAGCGCAGAACCUGAGCACCCUCUAGAAUGGGUCAGUAAAGGAGAGGUGAGCAACUGGGAAAGGAGAUGUAGAAAGCCCCAAAUGGACCCAACACCUUCUCUUCUCUGACUGGUUCACUAGACCUAGAAUCUACAGGGAAUGUUGGAGACACAGUAGAUCUGGCUGUCACGAGGCAGUAGACCAAGUUGGGAGAGUAGAGAGUGUGAUCUGGGGAUAAAGACAUUCAUUCAUGCAGCUUCCUAAUUAUCUGAGGCCACCAGAGGUGAAGGAUGCUGAGGAGGGGACCUGACGGGUGGCAGCCAGGAAACCAUCCACAUCAUCCUACCCAGCAAGCCCAUGGUUGGCAGGAGAACUUAAACUUAUCUGAUAACCUUUUUCUUUUUUUAAAGGAGAAUGUGCUUUAAUGUUACAUGUAUAAAUCAAAAUGAAG
rnacentral:lncRNA from 1 species